CCCACAGCGCCUGUGUGAGCAGACAGAGCUGCUGGAGGCUUAAACAGAAAGGCAGAAGAUCUGCAGAUCAGCGAGCGAACCGCCAUCUUACCAACAACUACACUGAUAGCGAUAUACUCGCUUCAGGGGUCAUGGGGAAUCUGGUGAAUAUCACCUGGUGAACAGGGCACAAGUCGAAGGAUACUCUGGAUUCGGUACCAACCCGUCACAGGGCACAAUCACAUACACAUUGAAACACACAUUCACACAUUACAAACAAUUUAGAGAUAUGAACCAGCCUAAAAGAUCUAUGUCUUUGGACUGUGGAAGGAAACUAGAAAUGUAUACACCUGGUGGAGGUGGGCGAUUUUAAACAUAAAACAGCAUAAAAUAAUAACCAAUUUGGCUUUCUACAUGAUUCAGUUUGAGCCUCAACACAGAUAUGGAGAUAAAUUGAUGACAAACUCCAGCUGCUGAAGUUCAUUUGAUAUUGACUGUAUGCACGACUUCAUUAGGAGUCAAUGAGUGAAUGAGGGCUUCAGUGAUCUCUAUAUGAUGAUUGGGAAACGUCUUAAAUGUGCUGAACAUUAUCAUGGCUGCUACCUGACAAUAAUGACUGAACCUCAGUUCUGAUUGGAAGAUGAGAAAAACCAGAGCAUAUUUAAACAGCAUUGUAUUGCUAGAACUGUGUGUGAUUAUGUGUGAUUGUGUGUGUGGAAGCUGUGCUCUUUUUUAAAUUUUUAUUCUUUGUAUCUAGUUUAGAAGUGUUGAUUGAGUUUUGUCUGAUAAUUUGUUAGACUUUUUGUUUCUGGAAUUGAUACAAAUAAAAGGCAAAAAAUAUUAAUAUUGUUAGUUAUAAUAGUUAAUAUUUGUAACACUUAUUUUUUAUUCUUUGUUUGAGUUCUACUGUGAAUUUGGAAAGAGAGGGGGUGCCAUUUUUAUCAUGUUUUCUCCUCUUUGUUAGUGAGGGAGUUAUUGUAUUUUGA